UGUCAUGGUUUAUCACUUUAAUUUUCUACAUUACUUUUACAUAUGCUGGAGUACUGCCUACUGUACAUGCCAUUGUCACAUGUAACACAUUUCUUUAUCUAACUUCAAUUUUGCUGAUUUCUUUUUCUGUUUCCAUCAUUCCGUGCAUUUAAUUCAUUGAAGAGCAAGAGAAUUUUAACUCUCCCACAAAAGGACAGUACAAAUCAAUCUUACCUGUUUGUUGAUUAUGCCUCUGUCAAGAUUUGGGCUGCAGUGGAUGGUUUUUUUUUGUUUAAAACAAUGGACUUUAUGCAGACAAACUAGACUGUCUCUAACAGAAGCUUCUCUGUGGAUCACCCCUGAAGCUCUUUGAGAAAGAACUGAAUGUUGCAUCAUCCAGUUCAGGUUUCUGUAAUUGGCAUAUCUUCCUUCUGGAAUACCUCCAUGCAACUUCCAUUGAAGUAAUUGGAGCUGUGCCUGCAUAUCUGAUGGUGGAACUGGACUCAUUGCAA